rnacentral:piRNA from 1 species
UAAUAGAUGUGAGCACGUGACUGCUGA